UAAAUACUCCAUCCGUUCGGAAUUACUUGUCGUAUAAAUGGAUGGAUCUAGACAUUUUUUAGUUCUAGAUACAUCCAUUGCUGCGACAAGUAAUUCAGAACGGAGGGAGUAUUUA
rfam:Triticum aestivum genome assembly, contig: Triticum_aestivum_CS42_TGACv1_scaffold_132771_2BL